AACAUGGCCUCCUCCACCUCCGGCACAUGCUCCUCCGACUGAAAGGAAACAAAACAUGAGGCUCAGGUGAACAAAGUGUUUUGCCAGGAUGGAGACUGCAUUUCCCAUGAGCACCCUCAGCCUCUGUGGUGAAGAUGUGUCUAUACAGAUCUUUUUUAUACAACUUUUCUUCAGUAAAGACGACUUUUACGUGAUUCAGAGUGAUGAGUUUUCAGAUGCCUCACUAGAAGUUAAAUGCAGCGCGGAGUGCUGGGCUGUUUGUGUGAUGAAGGAGAUAAAGUCUAAGAGUUCACCUUUGGGUUGAAGUAUUUGUCAAUGAGCUCCUGUCCACACUCCUUUCUCUUCUCGUCUGGAGUCACCUCGUACUCCGCCUGCAGGAAUAAGAUCAUGGAGACAAAAUGACUUAGAGAGGAACACGGAGAGGGCUCUCAGCUGCUGCAAGAGGACGGCCUUUAUCGUCCCUCGAUUACCCAAAACAUCAGAGGAGUCAGAAUCAACCGCUGUGCCCGGGACUUCAUCUUUACAUAUACAUACAUGGUCUGAGAGACAAAAACAUCCAUACGUCAUUCCUCACACAUGAACUGCUAUUUGUUUUGAUAUUACAUUUUUAAAUGAGCACUGUAAACCUGUCUGUUUCUAUUACUUUUUCAGUGUUGAUGACCAACCACAUCUAACACAUACGAUAAAAAGUAACCUGGGGAAUGUUUGCUUUCUGCAUCACAUCAAACUCGAGGCUAAAGCCAUGAUGAAAUAAAAACUUUG